rnacentral:lncRNA from 1 species
UAAGAAUAUAAGAUGUUACGGAGUCUAUUGGCAAAUGAUAUAACCGUAUCAUUCAAUAUUAGAACAAAAACAUCCAUAUCAAUACUGCACGAUUUGAUAAUGGAUACCAGGUUAUCUUCCACUUAGUGCAAGCCAUUAUCAAUAUUGCAUAUCUUGUCUUAUGGAGUAGCCAAAAACAGUAAUGAAGGUGUGCAACAAUUCCUCAAUUUAGUGGGGCACAGAGAUUUAAACGUUUCUGCAGGCCAAUGAAGAUUUAAAGCUCCAAGUCUAAAUAUAUGUAAGAAUCAAAACGCAAGCGUCAUUACAUGAGCUUACCAUAAAUUUUAAGAUAUUUUCACCCACUCCUCUCUUAUCUUCUCCUUAUUUGGAUUUGCCCAUACACACCAUAUUUCCUUCAAAAGGUUACAGUUAUGGAUUUGGAUUGCCUGCAGUCGCAAUCCGUCACGCAGUUAGCACACCGGCGGGCGUUGGUUUGAGAUUGGACAGUCCAUAUUUCAUAUUUGGUAUUAAAAACAUUAAAAUCUAGAUUUUUUUGCACAAACCGAUCUUGAUCCAAUGGCAACCUCUGUGCUGACUGUGUGAAUGCAUGGGCUGUAGUAUGCAAACAAUCCAAAUCCUGCAAUUAUAUAUAUGUAAUAAGGCUUAAAUAUGGAAAUAUCUAUGUAAUAAUAUAGCAAUAAUAUCACCCCAAAAUCUUAUGACCAAAUGAACUUUUAGUCAUUUUCCAAACCACCAACGAUAAAAGGAAAGAAAAUGAGACCCAAACAAGGGGAACAAUAUAGUUCUUCUCUUAUACUUACUUAAAAACAUGGAAAUUCAAAUAUCGUCUUGGAACUUGAGCAGUGUUAUGGUAUAUCUAUUUGUUGUGAAUUUAGAAAUAG